AUGUAUAUAUACUUUGUAUAGUGAUGAUUAAUCUGCCAUGGCAAUCUGUGAUUUGAUAAGAAUAUUAAAACAAUAUCUUGUUCUAAUUCUCAUGCUUUACUGUGAGAUUCUCUUGUACAAGAUACACACAGUGUGGGCUAAGGUAGAAGAAAUUCCAAUAAAACAGUUCCACGAGGACUGGCAUUGAUCAAUAAUCAUUUGUCUUGAUUAUUCUUCUUGUUUGUCUUUUAUGUUGUUUUCUUCUCAACUUACAAUUAUUAACACACGUGAAAAGGUUUUUUCACCUCUGUCAACUUUUAUUCUCUUUCUUAUCUAGCAGUUAAAAAGCUACCCUUCAGCCUUCACACACUCUUUAUCUGCAUAUCUUUGAUGAUGAACUAGGUUUAUGACUUUUAUCAUCUCUGUUUCAGACUACAGAGGUAAUUGAUGAAGAAAACUCAGUGAACUGCAUGCUUCUGCGGGUAGCCAAAUGCGCGAUUUUCACAUGUACACAGGUUUGUUAUAUAUAUAUAUAAAGUCGGUUAAUAUAAACCAAUUGAAAUUUGAAAAGGAAAUGUAGGUGAAGUGAUACCUUUAAAUAACUAGAAAUCUGAUCUAAACAGUUUAGUGUGUAUAAGCUAUGGUGAUAAGAGGUAUGUUUUAAGGUGGUAGUUACCAAGUUUCCAAGCUCAAUAAUGUCCAUGAACAUGCAUGAGAAUUGAGAUGAUAUCCAGUUCAUAUUGUCAGGCAAGUUGAUGGAUAUGUGUAUAUCACGGGUUCUGAUCGAAGCUUAAUCAAAGAGUUCAUCAUAGCGUAGUAGCUUUACCAUAUAUGAGCCUGUAAACUUGGUCCUAUGUCACAGUAUUGUAUCACAUUAUUUGGCUUGCUUCACCUUUAUUGCUAAAUUAUGCCUGCAUGAAAGUCAGUAAAGGAUCAUGUAAAAGUGGAUGCCCAUGUCCCAUGUCUUUUUCAUGUCCAAAAUGUUCUAUGUUUGUAGUGCAGUAGUGCUCAUUUUGUGAUUCAGAUUCAGAGUUGAUUUGGCAAAAACAGACUCAUAAAGUAAUAAAUGAAUACAAAGAAUCCCCUUACAGGAAAUUGAGUACUGAGAGAUGCAUAUAGUUUUUUCCUACCACUCAGCUCCUUUUACUAUGGAGCAUAUCUUACAUGCCUCCGAAGAAAUUUUAAUAUUUGUAUCUCCUCCUUCGAUCGAUCUUGUAUAAAGACCAAAAAUUGGUACAUGCAGCCUUGCAGAGUUGCAGACAUAAUCAUUGAAGCUAUAUUUUUGGGCUAAUUUGUCCAUUUUAAGAGCCCAAUACUCCACCUGCUGGCAUCGGCGUCAACAGGCCCAACAAUCUGUACUCUGUAUAGACCCACAGACCACAGAAAGAUAAGCCUGUAAGAGUUGUGCCACAUAAUUAUUGUUCGGGCCACUGCGUAUAAGGCCCGCUGACACUAUGUUGUUGACAAUUUCUUGACAGUAUGAGUUAGUUCACUGGUGACUGGGUUCCUUAUUCCUAAUAGAUUUUGGAAACUUAGGGAGCUAUUAGAGCUAAUAUAGAGUUGGGGUUAAUUGCCCUCCUUAGUGGGCACAUCAGGUAAAUGAUGUCAUUCAAUUCCCUCCAAUAGGGAAGCUGACUAACUACUUCAUAUGCUACUUAUAUCUCACUAUGCAUCAUGUAGAGGUAAUCUACCAAGCUAGGUAGCUAAUAGGAUCUCCUACAGUAUUCAAAUUCCAAAUGGUGUGAAGUUCUGUAAGUUCAGAAAUCAAUCAAUCACUCUAUGAUUGUUAUUGUCAUUAACAUAUGUUAGAGAAUUAUUUGAAGACUUGAAGUCAUGGUCCCAAGUCUAAGGACAAUAACUCUCACAACUUUCCCGGCCAACUCUAUAAAGGGUUAUAUAUCAUGCCAGUAGAGUAGCCCAAGGAGUGUGCGCUACUUAAUUACUCUGCAAAUGAGAGCAAUUUGUACCUUCGUUCAUACUAAUUGGUGCCGUAGAACAACAUAACACACCCCUUGUCAGAAAAACUUAAUUACAAUCUCAAAGAUACACAUUCAAGUAGGGCCAAUGUGGCAAAAAAGUCGUAAAACACCAUUCAAAACAUCACUUGCUUAUCUUAGAGAACACAGUGGAUCAGUAAUUGGUAAUAAACGUUCCAAACUACACCUACCCUGCUAAUACAUAUUGAACAUUCUUCAAUGGCAAAAACAUUACCUUGCUCUUCUGAAUGAUUACUCAAACCAAUAGAUAGUAACUGCUGAAUGAAUAUGUUUAUUAUCUGCUUGAAAGUUGAAAUGCUUCUCAUUUUUGUCCAAACAAAAAAAUCACAUUGAUAUGAAUAGUUUUGAAAGCCAAGCCAGCUAGGCUUAAUUAAUAAAACUUGUCUGUACUAUAUACAAAGAGUACAAUAGUACAAUACAAAGUUUCUUUCAUUUUUGUUUGUAUUUAAAGUAUAUUUGUAUCAGCAAUUGAUUUGCGUGGUGAUACAGUAUAACAAUUCCAUGCAUGUGAAGCUCUCAAUAUAGCUCUUGUACAUUCGCACUUUUAUCAUAAAUUCUCAUAAUGCUUAUCACCUUCUAUAAAGAAGGCAAGAAAACACACAAGGACAUGGAUAACAAGGACCUUACUGAUCAGAAAAAAAACUAAAUGUAUCCAGCACUUAUUGUAGAAGAAUUGGGCUCACAUCCUAGCUGUCCUUUACCUCUCACAUGGACAAAACUAAGUUUAAGAUCAAACAUUUACAUUUCUGGCAUCUUAGUUUAACCUAAUUUUACAAAGCUUUUUAAAGUAACAUUCAGUGGUGCUUACCUUUGCUUGUUGUCCAAACAAUUCUGGCAUUGGCAACUCUAUAUGCAUAUAUGUUGUAUCAUUUGUAUCUUUGUUUCUUUCUUUUUCAUAAAAGAUUCACCAAACACCACUUUUCCACCACUUGAAUACACUAAGAUUUUCAACAAUUUUAACCCAAAAGAAGUAUGGUAAACAUUUUCAAAAACACAACCCUGUUUCUUGCCAAAAUUUACCAAACCAAGAUUUACAAAAAGAUAUUAGAAUACAUUCAACUAUGGUAGUAAAGCGAAUAAUGAGACAAUAUGGUUCUUAGUACAAAACGAAGGAUCUUAACAUAAGUAAAUAAGUGGACACAAUUGAAACUUGUGCAGUUGCUUACUUGGUAUGAAAGUGACUUGAUAUACUGUUGCUUCCUCCAUGUACAGUGUCUCCAGCCUUCUUCAUCAAGUACAAAUACAGUUAUUCUAAGUGAUAUAACAUUAGUAAAUUUAUGUUUCACACCAUAGUGUUUCUAAAAAGAAAAUUCUAUUUAAAGAGGAACCCAUACUCUUACUUUGUGACUUAGUGCAUGGGCAGAUUCUAGAAAUAGAGAAUGAUGAAAUCAUGAUAUUUCAUGGUGUCAGAUCUCAUGAGUUUGAAAUCAUACAGUGUAUUGCCAACAAAAAGAAAUUUAACUUAAUGUAAUAAGAUCAUUCAGGAUAUAGACAAGAUAAUGUAAGAAAGUUAAACAUGGGGACAUAUGUUUAUAGAUCUAUAACAAUUCAAAUAAAAACAGGCAUCAACAUCAUGCAAUAGUAUUCUUCCAUCACCAAAGAACUAUACAAUAGAAGAUAUUACUUUAUGUGGCCAUUCUUUGCUUGGAAGCAUUCUUGGAGAAGACAGCGGUGGUAGACAUUAUAUAAUUUUCAUAUAUUUUCAAAUCUACCAUAUCAUAUAUAUAGUUGUUUUUAUGUAUAAGUAGAAAAAGAAAGAGUGUAGGGUCAUAUGAGAUAAUUAUGCACAAUAUAGAUUAGUUGCUUUCAAUACUUUGAUAUAUAAAAACAUACAUAAAAGAUAGAGCAUCAAAAACCUACAUAUAUAUACAAGUAAUUUAAACUUGAUUAGCCCUACCAUUGGUCACUUUAAUAAUGCAGCUGAACCUGGUUUAUAUAUUGGAAUAAAAAGACCUACAAAUAUAAAUAUCCCAAACCACUGCAGCAAAGGGUAACCCUUCAGUAAAUAUGAAAGCAAAAAACCCAAUAAAUGAGUAGAAAUAUAAAGCAAAAAAACUUGAAUCAGACUUCAAUUCUUCAUUCUCAUAAAUCAUUAAAAAGAAAAAUGAACCACUAAACUAAGACACAACAAAAAACUUAGCUAUUAGCAAAAAUAGAUAGGUAAAUUUCAUGGAAGCCCUGAUAUAAAGUUGAUGACAAUGGUCUAAUUUUCCAAGAAACUGAUUAUUGAUUAGAAUAUUUGGUGCAAAUUUAUCAUUUAAAUCAACCAAAAAUUACAAAAAUUCACAAUUACAAAAUUGUAGUUCAGUAAAUUGACUGCAUCAACCAACAGAGUAUCCAAUUGGUUUUGAUGAAAACUGCAUACCAAUGAGGUAACAUCUAUAUCCAUUGAAUAUAUACUACUAGGUAGUACAAUGUAGUCAAUAAAAUUAUGAAUUUAAAACUUUUGAUCCACAACCUGAACAAACCAGAAAAAACCCCCAAUUCCAAACACUAACAGGACUAGUAGCAUUAAUAUCAAAAUUCAAAAAAAACAUUAAAAGAAAAAUCAAGGAAGCUUGUGUGAUAAGGAAACAGAUCUAUAUAUCUAUAACUAGUAUAGAAUUGCAUAAGUGUGAAAGACAUCAAAUGAUCUAUCAUUAGAUCUAAUUGCAACAAUCAAAUGAUCAAAGGAUCUUACUCUUUAAAAAUGUAACCAGAUUCUAUCUGUAGUUUCCCACAGCUUUAUUGAACCGCAAAGGCGAUAUACCACCAUGGCACCAUGUACUUGAAGAACAAGCUUAAUUUUAUCUGUAAUUAGAUUAGAUUACCAUGCAGUUCAAGAAAGCUGUGGAAGAUUACAAAGAGGAUCAUUUGAAGACAUACCAUAAGUUCAAAUCUAUAAAAACAGCAAAAUGAACAAGAAGAAGAAAAAGAAGAAGAAAGACAGAAGAAGAAGAGUGGUUGGGUUGAGAGAAGGAGAAAAGAACAAGUAUUUAUAGAAGAAUUCCAGAAGGUUUUUUUUUUACUCCAAUCCCAAGAAGAAUAUUAUG
rnacentral:lncRNA from 1 species